rnacentral:rRNA from 1 species
GACGAACGCUGGCGGCGUGCUUAACACAUGCAAGUCGAACGGAAAGGCCCUGCUUUUGUGGGGUGCUCGAGUGGCGAACGGGUGAGUAACACGUGAGUAACCUGCCCUUGACUUUGGGAUAACUUCAGGAAACUGGGGCUAAUACCGGAUAGGAGCUCCUGCUGCAUGGUGGGGGUUGGAAAGUUUCGGCGGUUGGGGAUGGACUCGCGGCUUAUCAGCUUGUUGGUGGGGUAGUGGCUUACCAAGGCUUUGACGGGUAGCCGGCCUGAGAGGGUGACCGGCCACAAUGGGACUGAGAUACGGCCCAGACUCGUACGGGAGGCAGCGGUGGGGAGUAUUGCGCAAUGGGCGGAAGCCUGAUACAGCGACGCCGCGUGCGGAAUGACGGCCUUCGGGUUGUAAACCGCUUUCGCCUGUGACGAAGCGUGAGUGACGGUAAUGAGUAAGGAAGCAACGGCUAACUACGUG